AGAGAGUGAAGGAGAGAGGAGGGCGUUGAUCCAACUUAUGACAGCAGACUGCAGGGGAGGAGCUUUGUCCUGGAUGACCUCUGCUGGUGCUGCAGCAGCCUUCGAAAACAUGGAAAAAUCAAUGACUCAACUGGUCCAGAGGUGUGGCUUGGCUUAGAGAGGAAACCUGGGAGUAUAUUAAUGGUUUCUAUACCGCACUGAGCAGAGAACAUAUGUCUGGGUAGCAAGUCUCACACUGUCUCCAGCGCUUGUGGCUGAAAGCCGGACGUGAUCAGCCAAUCAGAAUCCAGGAAUAAUCAGAUUUUUAUGUGGAAGCACUAGCAACAACAUCAUCACCC